rnacentral:rRNA from 1 species
CCCUUAGAUGUUCUGGGCCGCACGCGCGCUACACUGAUGAAUGCAACGAGCUCUACCCUUGACCGAAAGGCCCGGGUAAACUUGUGAAACUUCAUCGUGAUGGGGAUAGAUUAUUGCAAUUAUUAAUCUUCAACGAGGAAUUCCUAGUAAGCGCGAGUCAUCAGCUCGCGUUGAUUACGUCCCUGCCCUUUGUACACACCGCCCGUCGCUCCUACCGAUUGAAUGGUCCGGUGAAAUCUUCGGAUUGCUGACCAAGAUCCAGCAAUGGAGCUUGGUUGCGAGAAGUUGAUUAAACCUUAUUAUUUAGAGGGAGGAGAAGUCGUAACA